UACGAAGGGGGCUAGCGUUGCUCGGAAUCACUGGGCGUAAAGCGCACGUAGGCGGAUUUUUAAGUCAGAGGUGAAAUCCUGGAGCUCAACUCCAGAACUGCCUUUGAUACUGAAAGUCUUGAGUAUGGGAGAGGUGAGUGGAACUGCGAGUGUAGAGGUGAAAUUCGUAGAUAUUCGCAAGAACACCAGUGGCGAAGGCGGCUCACUGGCCCGGUACUGACGCUGAGGUGCGAAAGCGUGGGGAGCAAACAGG
rnacentral:rRNA from 1 species